UUUUGGACAGUGGGGGCAACCCUGAUCCAGCCAUGCCGCGUGAGUGAAGAAGGCCUUCGGGUUGUAAAGCUCUUUCGGACGGAACGAAAUGGUUACGGUCAAUACCCGUGACUGAUGACGGUACCGUAAGAAGAAGCACCGGCUAACUACGUGCCAGCAGCCGCGGUAAUACGUAGGGUGCGAGCGUUAAUCGGAAUUACUGGGCGUAAAGCGUGCGCAGGCGGUUUCGUAAGCUGGAGGUGAAAUCCCCGGGCUUAACCUGGGAGUGGCCUUCAGGACUGCGAGGCUAGAGUGCGGCAGAGGGAGGUGGAAUUCCACGUGUAGCAGUGAAAUGCGUAGAUAUGUGGAGGAACACCGAGGCGAAGGCAGCCUCCUGGGCCAGCACUGACGCUCAUGCACGAAA
rnacentral:rRNA from 1 species